rnacentral:rRNA from 1 species
GAUGAACGCUGGCGGCGUGCUUAACACAUGCAAGUCGAACGGGAAUUAUUUUAUUGACACUUCGGUCGAUUUAAUUUAAUUCUAGUGGCGGACGGGUGAGUCACGCGUGGGUAACCUGCCUUAUACAGGGGGAUAACAGUCAGAAAUGGCUGCUAAUACCGCAUAAUCGCACAGAGCUGCAUGGCCCAGUGUGAACUACUCCGGUGGUAUAGGAUGGACCCGCGUUGGGUUAGCUUGUUGGGAGGGUAACGGCCUACCAAGGCGACGAUCCAGAGCCUGCUUGAGAGGGGGAACGGCGAGAUUGGGACUCAGACACAGCCCCGAAUCCUACGGGAUGGAGGAGUGGGGAAUAUUGCACAAUGGGGGCAGGCAUGAUGGAGCGAGGCUGCGUGAAGGAAGAAGUGUCUAGGUAUGUGAACUUCGAUCAGCAGAGAGGAUAGUGACGGUACCUGACUAAGAAGCACCGGCUAACUACGUG